rnacentral:tRNA from 1 species
CGGGGUGUUAGCGGGGUUUUAUUGGCUCAGAGCAAUUCAGGAUAUUGCAAAAUACUUGACUGGGGGUCAAGGGGUCGGAGGUUCAAAUCCUCUCGUCCCGACCA